UCGAGAAUCUUUCGCAAUGGGCGCAAGCCUGACGAAGCGACGCCGUGUGUGCGAAGAAGGCUUUCGGGUCGUAAAGCACUUUCGCCUGGGAACAAGAGAAGAUGGCUAAUAUCCAUCUAAUUUGAGCGUACCAGGUAAAGAAGCACCGGCUAACUACGUGCCAGCAGCUGCGGUAAUACGUAGGGUGCAAGCGUUAAUCGGAUUUAUUGGGCGUAAAGGGCGUGUAGACGGGGGAUUAAGUCAGAUGUGAAAUCCCGGGGCUCAACCUCGGAACUGCAUUUGAAACUAAUCCUCUAGAGGAUGGACGGAGAAAACGGAAUUCCACAAGUAGCGGUGAAAUGCGUAGAUAUGUGGAAGAACACCGGUGGCGAAAGCGGUUUUCUAGUUUAUUCCUGACGUUGAGGCGCGAAAGCUAGGGGAGCAAACAGGAUUAGAUACCCUGGUAGUCCUAGCUGUAGACGAUGUAUACUUGGUGUAACCGGACUCAACCCCGGUUGUGCCGUAGCCAACGCGUUAAGUAUACCGCCUGGGAAGUACAGUCGCAAGGCUG
rnacentral:rRNA from 1 species